rnacentral:tRNA from 1 species
UGGCGGAGCAAAUGCGCCAACUGGGCAUUGAACCCAACGCGAUCCUGUUGGAGCCAAUGGGACGCAACACCGC